ensembl:lncRNA
CCGCUACGGGACUCAACGGACGUACCGAGGGAACGCCCACGACUGGUCCUGCUCCUCAGGCCGGACGCGCCUCGCUUCGGCUCGGCCAAGCCCAAGGUUCCCACUGGCCCGGACCUUUGGUCCUGCCUUGCAACGGCUUCUGGAGGAAAGAUGCCAAGUUCCGAGCACCCCUAUGGAGAAACUGCUUCCUAUGGUAGCUAAAUAAAUAAGCAGAGAUGGAGUCUCCACCUUCAUCCCACUCCCAGCUGACCUCUUGAUUGCAACUUCAUGAGAGGUCCUGAAUGAGAACCAUCCAGCAUGGGAGCUGAAGCACAAAGGAUGAGAAGAAUCAGAGACAGCCAAAUCAUAGAGGCAGAAAAUACAGUGGUAGUCACUGGAGGCUGGAGUGCUGUGGUUUAACAGGGACAGAGUUUCAGUUUUGUAAGGUAAAGAGUUCUGGAGAUGGGUUCAACAACAACGUGAAUGUGCUUAGCAUGGCUGAACUACGUACUGUGAAAUGGUUAUGAUGGUAAACUUUAUGUCAUAUGUGUUUGACCAUGUGACGGGGAGGAAGGGGAAGCUGAACAUCAGGGCAGCUGCAAGUUUUCAUGACCCAGUGUCUAAGUCAUACAGCAUCAAAUCUCUCAUCCUUGGUUGGUCAGAGAAGCCAAGGGUGUCCAGGGCAGGGGCAGGGAGUGGACGCCAGCUCUUUCAGCAGAGGUGCCCGGUUCUGGAUGGGCACGAGGGGCUGCAGCCUCUGUGACAACUGUCUUCCUCCUUCACUUCCACAGCCUGUUUCCUUAGCUCCCACCUACUCCAUUUCUCUCCAGUCUGGCUUUGGCUUUUUAACUCUCUUGUUAAAGUCACAAAUGAUUGCUGGGUCAGUAAAGUGAAUAGAUUUGUUUUAUUCCUUUUCAAUGUGUUUUUAUAUAGAAAUGCACCAGUGUAUCCAAGAGUAGAGGAAACUGUAGAAUGAAACUCUGUCACUUGACUUCAACAAUUAUCAAUGUUUGCAAGUCUUAUUUCGUUUGUCUCUGCUCCCACUGCAUAUUUUUUUGUACAACCUCUCAUCUUUCUUGGCCCUAAGCUGCACAGGCUGCUCUGGUACGCCCAUCUUAAUGUCCUCUGUGAAGCCUCUAACUAUGAAAGAACCUCAGCGCUUGGCCUUGGCUUCCUUGUCUUACUUGUGCCCUUAAUGUCAAUGACAUCUACUCACAGGUGUCUCCAAAGACCGAGAAUGCCCACGCCUCCCAGUGAGGGAGGUUCCUAUCAUCCCCUCCCCUGUGAGCCAGCCUGGUGGCCCUAAUCCUGAGCUAGGCUCUCAAGCUUUGAACUAUUCCCCUUCUAACACCCAUGGUCCAAAGUUAGGGUACAAAUCAAGGCUCCCCUUUCUUCCCUGGCCAGCUCCCAGCUGGGAAGGGCCUGUGUGUGGAGACACUGCAACCCACACACCCAAGCUCUGCCCUCGUUCACCCAGGACAGCAUUCUGUCUGCCCUUGGAAGGCUGGCUUAUGCAGAAGCGUCCACAGGCCAGUGGACAGACUGGGGCUGCAUGGGCAGAUGCUCCAGGGCCCAGAGCAGCGGAAGAGCAAUGUAGCAGAAGCAGAGGUCUAGAUGGCCUUGUCCCCUUAGCAGCAGAGUCCAUGCCCUACAGCAG